rnacentral:tRNA from 2 species
CGGGACUGGCGGGGCUCGAACCCGCAGCUCCGCC